AGUCGGUGUGAGUCCAGACUCCAUACCAAACUCUCCCUCUUAUGAGAGAGAAAAAGAAGACGUAAAUGUAAAUACAAAUACUACAACAAAUAAAGACUCUCUUUUAUCUGAAACUCUCAAUCUCAUUUCUCUUUUGCAAUUCUGUGUUUGGUAACAAAGAUGAGUGAUCCAAAGUAUGCUUAUCCCUACCCUGCUCAAGGUUACUGCCAAGGACCUCCAGUAAUGGCACCUCCACAAUAUGCUACUCCACCUCCCAGACAACAACCUGGUUUCCUUGAGGGAUGUCUAGCAGCUUUGUGUUGCUGUUGCCUCAUUGAUGAGUGCUGCUGUUGUGACCCUUCCAUCAUCUUCAUCGGCUGAUAUCCUUCUCUGUGUCCUUCUUCAUCACCUGCAAAUAAAUAAUUCUUUUCAUUUUUUUUUUUUCUUCUACUUAUAUGUAUGUGUCUAAGAUUUGCAAGUGUUCAUCUGGGAUUACUUAAAUUGAAAGUUUGGUGCAUUGAGACUUCUUCUCUAUCUACAUCAUAUAAUAUUUGAGAUGGUGUUUGUGUUUCCACUUUGUUGAAUUAACUUUAUUAUCAUUUCUACAUCCUCAA